GUGAACAGUCAUGCGAGGAGUCAGGAGGAGGAGGGACAGUAAUUAGGCACAAGUGAUCGUUCUCUUGUAUUUCGUAGCCUAACAAGUGAUUAUCUGUGUGCGGCGCGGUGUGUAGGCCUAAGGAAACUGCAUAGGCCUCUCAUGAACCCGUGGAGAAGAAACCAUGAACUGUGAGACGUGUGGAAGAGUGCUAAGAUUUAAAAGACUGGAUAAAACGUAGAAAGAAGACUAUAGAAAGAAUAAAACGAUGCUAAAGUGUAAGAAAAGUAAUAAAAAGGAGACAAAGAAUGUGAGUAAAAAAAAAACAUAAAGAUCUAUAGAAGAAAAGAUAUA